rnacentral:tRNA from 1 species
UGGGGUGUAGCUCAGGGAUAGAGCGCAUGCUUAGCAUGCACAAGGUCCUGGGUUCAAUCCCCAGCACCUCCG